AUAUCCUUUGGUUUGGCGUCAUUCUUAGCCGCCUAUUUUUUCCCUCAUCAUUCUGGUUUUGGCCGCUAACCUUGUUUUUAACUUUUUCAUCUCCCUCAAUCUCUCCUUUCUCUCCAACUCCCUCAAUUUCUCAAGCUUCACAUUCACCUUCACCUUCACCUUCUCUCCAACUCCCUCAAUUAUUAUUUGUUCAACAUCUGUUUUUUUUAAUUUAUAACCAAGUUCAAAAAUAUGUUAAUUAAUCUCUUUAGAAAUGGGAUCUUGUUUGAUUCUUGAUACUGUAUAAUUUAUUUGUUCAAGUCUGUUAUACUCGUAUAUCCACAGCUACGAGCCAAGCUGCUAGUGUUGUCUCUAGCAAAAAAAAGGGGAAGCAUAUUUCAAAGUCAGGCAAGGAAAAGGAAAUGGCUGCAUUGGCAUUAGCAUUUCUUAUGCUUUAUGCAGGAAGCAAGAAACUCUUCCUCAAGGAAGACAAGGCCAUAGAUUGUACAAUUCAACUUCCUAGUCCGUCAAUAAUAAAUUUUGACAUGUACUUGAUUUCUGUAUUGAAUUUAAUUGUAAAUAUUCAAGUUGGUAUAGGAAUGAAAUAGUAGAUUGUGUUUGCCAAAGCUUAUUUAGAUGGAAUUCAAUGAGGCUAAGAAGCUUAACGAAAGCCUUCAUCGAAACAGCACAUGAGGUCUGUUCACCAAACGAAGAUAAAGUGGAUUUACUCUUACACCUCUUUUUCAGUUGUGUGCAUUCAAAAUUUGAAAGCCGCAAUCGCAAUGGUUGAAUCUAUCUCAAUGGCUGUUUCAUGAGAGCUGAAAACUUCAACUUUUUCAAGCCACAAAAACAACGAAAAAUUCCACAGAAGAAAGGGUAUUCUUAUCUUUUCUCAUAUUAUUAAUGGUUUUUAACUUCAAUUAUUAGUCUUGAAUUUGAUACAAACUUUCAUGUUUGAUAUAUAAUGCAGUGUUGUAAAACCUCAGUGGAGUAAAUUGCAUAUUUUGAGUUAGAAUUCAUAUUUUGGUCGUUAGAAUUCACAUUAGUAA